rnacentral:lncRNA from 1 species
AAAACCCCUCCCUUUUAAAUCCUCCCCUCUGCCCCUCUCCCCUCUCCACACCAAACACACAGUUCCUUCCAUUUCCUUCUCCCUAGGAAAACAAAUGUCAAUUUCCAUGGCUACCACCACUGAAGAUUCUAAUAACCUCCAGCCUCCUCUAGCACUAGCUCCACCUCCUCCUCUAGCACUAGCUCCGCCCCAACAACAGUCGCAGCAACAAUCCUCCACUAUCCCUCAGUAUCCUGAGGUAACCAUUUAAUUACAAGACAAUUGAUGUUAUUUCUUUGUUUUACUUCUGACUACUUUAUAAUGUAGUGUUUUUUGUUCAUUCUGGUUUUAGA